rnacentral:tRNA from 1 species
GCAGGGGUCGGAUAGCAUGGCCAAUUCCGUUAGGUUCAGAGCCUAAUCCCUUAGUGGGUUCGAGAGUUCAAAUCUCUCCCCCUGCA